UACGUAGGGUGCGAGCGUUGUCCGGAAUUAUUGGGCGUAAAGGGCGCGUAGGCGGUGCGGUAAGUCACUUGUGAAAUCUCCUGGCUCAACUGGGAGCUUGCAGGCGAAACUGCCGUGCUGGAGUGUGGGAGAGGUGCGUGGAAUUCCCGGUGUAGCGGUGAAAUGCGCAGAUAUCAGGAGGAACACCGGUGGCGAAGGCGGGUCUCUGGGCCGAAACUGACGCUGAGGAGCGAAAGCGUGGGGAGCAAACAGG
rnacentral:rRNA from 1 species